GUAAAUAUGAUGAAUAGGAUAAGUAAAUCGGCAGCAUUUUUCAGAGAGCCAGGGGUUGGUGUGACCUGGUAAAUGUACUGAUUGAAAUACACCUAGGAGUAGCAGGUUGAAAGGUAACAAGUAGACCGUGCCGGAAUGCCACCGUUAUUAAAGGCUAGAGUAUCAGGUUAACUGCUUCGUACUCGAAAAGUAAUCGGCUUGCAAUGCAAGCAGGGUGGUACAACGAGUAAUAACAUCUCGUCCCUGUA
rnacentral:ncRNA from 1 species